AUUGAACGCUGGCGGAAUGCUUUACACAUGCAAGUCGAGCGGCAGCGCGGCCUUCGGGCUGGCGGCGAGCGGCGAACGGGUGAGUAAUGCAUCGGAACAUGCCCAGUCGUGGGGGAUAACACUUCGAAAGAAGUGCUAAUACCGCAUACGUCCUGAGGGGGAAAGCGGGGGAUCGCAAGACCUCGCGCGAUUGGAGUGGCCGAUGUCAGAUUAGCUAGUUGGUGGGGUAAAGGCCUACCAAGGCGACGAUCUGUAGCUGGUCUGAGAGGAUGAUCAGCCACACUGGGACUGAGACACGGCCCAGACUCCUACGGGAGGCAGCAGUGGGGAAUUUUGGACAAUGGGGGCAACCCUGAUCCAGCCAUUCCGCGUGAGCGAAGAAGGCCUUCGGGUUGUAAAGCUCUUUCGGCAGGAACGAAACGGUGGGCUCUAACAUAGUCCGCUAAUGACGGUACCUGAAGAAGAAGCACCGGCUAACUACGU
rnacentral:rRNA from 1 species